CACGGGGGGAGCAAGCGUUGUUCGGAAUCACUGGGCGUAAAGGGCGUGUAGGCGGUCAAGUAAGUGGAACGUGAAAUCCCUCGGCUUACCCGAGGACCUGCGUCCCAAACUGCUUGGCUUGAGUAUGGGAGAGGAUGAGGGAAUUCCUGGUGUAGCGGUGAAAUGCGUAGAUAUCAGGAGGAACACCGGUGGCGAAGGCGCUCAUCUGGCCCAAUACUGACGCUGAGGCGCGAAAGCUAGGGGAGCAAACGGG
rnacentral:rRNA from 1 species